GCCCCCGUUGUCUAAUGGUUAUGACGUCAGACUUCUACCUGAAGAGCGUGGAUCUGGAGGUUGCGAGUUCGAGUCUCGCCGGGGGCU
rnacentral:tRNA from 1 species